AUUGAACGCUGGCGGCGUGCCUAAUACAUGCAAGUCGAGCGAACUGAUUAGAAGCUUGCUUCUAUGACGUUAGCGGCGGACGGGUGAGUAACACGUGGGCAACCUGCCUGUAAGACUGGGAUAACUCCGGGAAACCGGAGCUAAUACCGGAUAACAUUUUCUCUUGCAUAAGAGAAAAUUGAAAGAUGGUUUCGGCUAUCACUUACAGAUGGGCCCGCGGUGCAUUAGCUAGUUGGUGAGGUAACGGCUCACCAAGGCAACGAUGCAUAGCCGACCUGAGAGGGCGAUCGGCCACACUGGGACUGAGACACGGCCCAGACUCCUACGGGAGGCAGCAGUAGGGAAUCUUCCGCAAUGGACGAAAGUCUGACGGAGCAACGCCGCGUGAGUGAUGAAGGCUUUCGGGUCGUAAAACUCUGUUGUUAGGGAAGAACAAGUACAAGAGUAACUGCUUGUACCUUGACGGUACCUAACCAGAAAGCCACGGCUAACUACGUGCCAGCAGCCGCGGUAA
rnacentral:rRNA from 1 species